rnacentral:rRNA from 1 species
AACGCCCGGUUACAUUCCGAACCCGGUAGCUAAGCCCUCCAGCGCCGAUGGUACUGCACUCGGGAGGGUGUGGGAGAGUAGGACGCCGCCGGAC